AGUUAAUAAGUUUAUAAAAACAUAUAUUUUGAAAAUAUAAAAAAGAAGAUAAAACUUCUAUUAACUU
rnacentral:tRNA from 1 species